GUUCACGCACGAGACGACGCAGCGGCAAUAGUUUUUUUUUGAAAACUCGCAAGGAAAGGAGACACAGCAGAAAAGAGGUCCAGGUGUGAGGUGCCAGUGCAGCCAAUGCGCAAGAGUUUCCCCUCCCCUGACUGGUACAAAUCCCCUCCCCGAAAACAAGAGAACAAUCGAAAGAUGCAGCUUACUGUUUUGCUUUCCAAGGACUGUUUUCACCUCAUUCGAGGGUUAUCGUAACUGGAAAAAGGCUACAAUGAAAGACAGUGGUUUCUGUUCUCAUGCCAGAUCUGAAGGCUGUGUAACUGCAAGGGAAACCCUGUAAUGCUUUGUCAUUCCUGUCAAACCUAUUUUUUUAAGGGAUUUCCCUUGAGAAAUCGUCCUUUUUGUUGAGUCGAUUCAGUUUGUGUUGCUGUAAAGAAUUGUCAGGAAUAUUGUUGCCUUUGGAGAAUUACAGCGAAUUACAGAGAACCUCAAACAUCUUCCAUAUUUUCUUUUGCACUUGUGUUUAAAAAGAAAAGAGAUAUAUUCCUGCACUUUUUGAUUGAUGCAUUUUGCUCUACUACUGCCUCAAAGAGUUUUAGUUUAUGUUUUGUGUGACAAAUGGGGAGAAUGUGUGUUCUGAGUAAACAAUAAAAGUGAUGUCCAGUACCUUG